AGUGAACGCUGGCGGUAGGCCUAACACAUGCAAGUCGAACGGCAGCACAGUAAGAGCUUGCUCUUACGGGUGGCGAGUGGCGGACGGGUGAGGAAUACAUCGGAAUCUACUUUUUCGUGGGGGAUAACGUAGGGAAACUUACGCUAAUACCGCAUACGACCUACGGGUGAAAGCAGGGGAUCUUCGGACCUUGCGCGAUUGAAUGAGCCGAUGUCGGAUUAGCUAGUUGGCGGGGUAAAGGCCCACCAAGGCGACGAUCCGUAGCUGGUCUGAGAGGAUGAUCAGCCACACUGGAACUGAGACACGGUCCAGACUCCUACGGGAGGCAGCAGUGGGGAAUAUUGGACAAUGGGCGCAAGCCUGAUCCAGCCAUACCGCGUGGGUGAAGAAGGCCUUCGGGUUGUAAAGCCCUUUUGUUGGGAAAGAAAAGCAGCAGGUUAAUACCCCGAUGUUGUGACGGUACCCAAAGAAUAAGCACCGGCUAACUUCGUG
rnacentral:rRNA from 1 species